rnacentral:rRNA from 1 species
AUUGAACUCUUUCUUUCGGCCUAACACAUGCAAGUCGAACGGCAGCACAGUAAGAGCUUGCUCUUACGGGUGGCGAGUGGCGGGCGGGUGAGGAAUACAUCGGAAUCUACUUUUUCGUGGGGGAUAACGUAGGGAAACUUACGCUAAUACCGCAUACGACCUACGGGUGAAAGCAGGGGAUCUUCGGACCUUGCGCGAUUGAAUGAGCCGAUGUCGGAUUAGCUAGUUGGCGGGGUAAAGGCCCACCAAGGCGACGAUCCGUAGCUGGUCUGAGAGGAUGAUCAGCCACACUGGAACUGAGACACGGUCCAGACUCCUACGGGAGGCAGCAGUGGGGAAUAUUGGACAAUGGGCGCAAGCCUGAUCCAGCCAUACCGCGUGGGUGAAGAAGGCCUUCGGGUUGUAAAGCCCUUUUGUUGGGAAAGAAAAGCAGCAGGUUAAUACCCCGCUGUUCUGACGGUACCCAAAGAAUAAGCACCGGCUAACUUCGUG